GUAGAUAGGCUACUAGAGGUUUGGCGCAAAAUAACCGCUCAGAAGGUAAAAAUAUGCAGUGCUUUUUUUUCUUUUAAAUAGUGGAAUGUGGUCUUAUGCAUACCUAACAAAAAUAUAAGGGCUUAUUUAACUAUAGGUAAUAAUCUAAAAGAAUAGGCUACAUGCAUACAAUAAUUUAGGCAUUGCUUGCGAUGUCACAACAAUCACGAGAGUUUUGAAAAGCCAUUGAGACUCCAUUUCCCAGUGUCACCGAGGAUGAGCGUCCUUAUAAUAAAAUAAAACAGCUCAGUUUAUGAAAAGACUCCGAAGAGGAUGGAGGGAGGGAUGCGUGAUCCUGACGUCAGCGAUGCACCUGCGAAGCGCUCUGUCGCAUCAUCUCACUGGCGCUGCUUUAGAAUGAACGAGAGCGAGUUGCUCUGCAUCAGACGGAACCGCUGGGUCGCAACAUGCUUAAACUCCGCUCCUCUCGCGGAGGGUCUGUUGUUUGAAGUCUGCGAAUGACACGUUGAGUUCUGCACUCACAUAAAUGACCGUGCAAAACGCGCGUCUCUCUCAUUUCGUUUACAGAUGACCGUCGCGGCAGCAAUGGCAGGGUCAAACAUGGUCUUUUCUGAUGUUGAAAGUUUUCUAGAUGAGCACCCGGAAUUAUUAGAGGACUAUCUGAAAAGAAAAGGCAAGGCAAGCAUGGUGGAAAAGUGGAUGAAGAACCAUCACGCCACUAAAACUCCGGCGAACUCCAGCGCGGAAGCGGAGAAAGCGGCGAACGCGUGCAGUAAAGACAGCUGGGCGAGCAGAAGCGACGGGCUGCAGAGACGAGCGUCGCAGAAAGAGCUGAGGAAAACCUUCGCCAGGUCUAAAGCCAUCAACGCCAACAGGACUUACGACGAGCACGUCAACUCCAGAGCCCAGGAGCCGCUGAGCAGCAUGAGGAGGCGCGCACUGCUGCGUAAAGCCAGCUCUCUGCCGCCAACCACCGCGCACAUCCUCUCCGCGCUGCUGGAGUCCAGGGUCAACAUCCCUCAGUACCCCUCCACCGCCGUAGACUACAAAUACUACCUGAAGGAGCACAGCGAGAGGGAGUUCUUCCUGGAGCUCGUCAAAGACAUCUCCAACGACCUGGAUUUGACCAGUCUGAGUUACAAGAUCCUGGUGUUUGUGUGCAUCAUGGUGGAUGCUGACCGCUGCUCCCUGUUCCUGGUGGAGGGACCGGCCAAUAAAAAGACUCUGGUGUCCAAGUUCUUUGACGUUCACUCUGGAACCACAGUGUUGCCAUCUCUCAGAAACUCGGAUGAGGUGCAGGUGCCCUGGGGAAAGGGCAUCAUUGGAUAUGUGGCUGAACAUGGGGAAACUGUCAACAUUCCCGAUGCAUAUCAGGACCAUCGUUUCAGUGAUGAGAUUGAUAAACUCACCGGAUAUAAAACCAAGUCUCUGCUGUGCAUGCCAAUCCGCAACAGUGAUGGAGAGGUCAUCGGGGUCGCACAGGCCAUCAACAAGAGUCCCAAUGGAGCACUCUUCACUGAAGAUGACGAAAAGGUGUUGCAGAUGUACCUGCCGUUCUGUGGCAUCGCCAUAUCAAACGCCCAGCUGUUCGCUGCCUCCAGGAAAGAGUACGACAGGAGCAGGGCUCUUCUGGAGGUUGUGAACGAUUUGUUCGAGGAGCAGACCGAUUUGGAGAAGAUUGUGAGGAAAAUCAUGCAUCGAGCUCAGACGCUGCUGAAGUGUGAACGCUGCUCGGUUCAGCUGCUGGAGGACAUUGAAUCUCCGGUGGUGAAGUUCACCAAGUCCUUUGAGCUUCUGUCACCCAAGUGCAGCGCCGACAUGGAGAACAGUUUCAAGGACAGCAUGGAAAAAUCGUCCUAUUCUGACUGGCUGAUUAAUAACAGCAUUGCAGAGUUGGUCGCCUCCACUGGGCUUCCUGUGAAUAUCAGCGAUGCCUACCAAGACCCACGCUUCGACGCUGAAGCAGAUCAGUUCUCUGGCUUCCAUAUUAGAUCUGUCCUAUGUGUCCCUAUCUGGAACAGUAACCACCAAAUCAUAGGUGUGGCUCAGGUCUUGAACAGACUAGAUGGAAAACCAUUUGAUGAUGCAGAUCAGAGGCUGUUUGAGGCAUUUGUGAUAUUCUGUGGACUGGGAAUCAAUAACACCAUUAUGUAUGACCAAGUGAAGAAGUCCUGGGCCAAACAGUCUGUCGCUUUGGAUGUGCUGUCAUAUCACGCCACUUGCUCAAAGACUGAGGUGGAUAAGUUUAAGGCAGCAAACAUCCCUCUGGUGUGUGAACUGGGCAUUGAUAAACUAUCGUUUGAUGACUUCUCUCUGGAUGUGGAUGCCAUGGUCACUGCAGCUCUGCGGAUGUUUAUGGAGCUGGGAAUGGUGCAGAAAUUCAAAAUAGACUAUGAGACACUUUGUCGGUGGCUGUUGACCGUAAGGAAGAACUAUCGCAUGGUUCUGUAUCAUAACUGGAGACAUGCAUUCAACGUUUGCCAGUGCAUGUUUUCCAUGCUGACGACAGCCGGCUUCCAGGAGACUCUGACUGAGAUGGAGAUUCUGGCUCUGAUAGUGGGCUGCAUCUGCCAUGAUCUGGACCACAGAGGAACCAACAAUGCUUUCCAGGCCAAGACGGGAUCAGCUCUCUCUCUUCUUUAUGGGACAUCAGCCACACUAGAGCACCAUCAUUUCAACCAUGCUGUUAUGAUCCUGCAGAGUGAGGGUCACAAUAUUUUCUCUAAUCUGUCGUCACAUGAGUAUGGAGAACUCAUGCAGCUCCUAAAACAAUCCAUACUGGCCACAGACUUAACGCUCUACUUCCAGAACAGGAAUUCCUUCUUUGAGCUGGUGAAUAAAGGCGAAUACAACUGGAACGUGAAGGAACACAGAGACAUGUGCAGGUCGAUGUUGAUGACAGCAUGUGAUCUGGGUGCUGUCACUAAACCCUGGGAGAUAUCAUGCAAGGUUGCAGAGCUGGUGACUAGUGAGUUUUUCGAGCAGGGAGACAGAGAGCGAUCAGAACUGAAACUGACUCCCUCGGCAAUUUUUGACCGAAACCGCAAAGAUGAGCUGCCAGGUCUACAGCUGGAGUGGAUUGAUGGAAUCUGUGCGCCGCUCUAUGAGACAUUUGCCAAAUUAAACCCCAAACUACAGCCAAUGGUUGACUUGAUCAAGGCCAAUCGUGCCAAAUGGGAAGAGCUUCACCACAGACACCAGCGCAGCCAGGAAACCAGCAGCCCUGGAAGUCCACGUAACGCAGACGCCACAGCAACCAGCUGCAGCUGCGCAGGCACCAGCGACGCCGGCCCUUUUCAUUCUGAGAGCUAACUCUGGAGAGAGAAACCUGCCAGAUUUUGCCACAAUGCUUCUCUCUGACCCGCAGCAAUGCAGACAGGAGUUUUGACCUCUGCUGCACGCUUCAGACCAGCAGCCUUUACCUCACUAGCGCCCUCUAUUGGGCAUUUGCUCUGUCUGCGAGCACUUCAGGCAACCGUGACCGAGUUUGCGUUCGUCUCCACAGUGCAAAGACUGCACGUUUAGCUAGCAACGGAGAACCUUAGGGAUGUGUUUACGCCCAGAAGCUAAUUGGCUGAAUUAGCUACUUUAGGGCUAGCAUGCUAACAUAAAGACUAUCGUGCGUGUAAGCUACUUUCAGCAGGGACUGUUUAAGAAGGAUUGCCGCUUUUUGAAAGCUGAUGUAUUUAUUCCAGGAUCAGGGGUUUGUGGAGCCGUGGGGCUCUUGGCAAUGCUUGCAAUGCAAAUCCACUCCAGCGCUGUACUCUGUGCCUUGGUAAAACCCUAUGAUAAUGCAUGCAGCCCGUCCUUGACAUCAUUCUUCUCUCUAGUUCACACUGCAUAUCGUCAUGGAUUUUCCCUCAUGUCUUGGGCCUGUUUCAUAUCUCGAAGGUAAGCAACGUGUUUUUAUUCCAGCGCCCAUGAUGAAAAAUUUAAGUUCUGGCAUCAUUUAUUCACACUGUUUAUUGUUUCAAGUAGGGGUGUGCGAUAUCUUCUACGAUAAUAUCAUAAUUGUUUAAACGAUAUGCGAUUUGACAUUAUCAAGUAUAUUGCAAAAACCUAACAAUAAACAAGUCCAAUAAAACAAGAAGCUAAUAUUAAUUGACAGUUGCAGUUUAGACACAAGUUCCUGUUUUUGCUCUAUUUCGUCAACGGAAAUAGUUUCAAACAAAGCCACGGCAGAACUGCUUUGCUUCUUUGAGAAACACAUGAUGGUGUUUCGUUACUGAACUGAUCAGCCUUAACUUGAACGAAUCGGUUGAAUGAAUGAUUCAAUGACUCACUCAUGCAGUGAUUUGCCACCGAUUUUAAGUUUAUAUUUAAAGUAUAUUUCCCCUUUUUUUCCAAAAUCAUUUCAAAUAUCAGUAUUCAAUGUUUUUUUUUAACAUCAAAACAUUAAUUAUGCAUUUGUAGCUGCAGGUUAAAUGCAUUCAUGUCCUGUGUUUAACAGUCUAUGUGAAUGCAUCUAAACGCCACUUCAGAUGCAGAUUCUGUGCCAUCUCUGCAUUGCAAAUUUAAUUUUGAGUGGUAACAGCCCUAUAGUGUCUUACUAUUUGAAUUUAUUGAUUACAUUUAAGAAUUUGACACAAAAGAUGCAUGCAUUUAAUUAGGUUAAAAUAAAAAAAAUUGGCCUUAUAAAGGUAAAAAUGUUCUUAUUGGAAAAGUUCAUUUGUUACUCCUACAAACUAACCACCUCACAGAAUAUGAAGAGUAUCAAAAGUUUUGGGAGUCACCUGUCCACGACAGUCCUAAACCUGCCAAAAUAACCAGCACAAUAACAUGCUCAGCAAAAUGUUGUCUAAUUCUCGUUAUCAACAAAAUUCCAGAAAAUAUUGUCGCACACCCCUUAGUAUGUAUGAUGCAAAAAAAGAAAUUCUGAAGAUUUGUACUCUGGUGCGUUUCCCAAAAUCAUAGUUAACCAACAAUGCUUGUAAGUUCUGUUGUUACCAACAUAGUUCAACAGUUUGGCAUUUCCCGAAUCUAUAUUCCAACAAACAUUCUUUUCAAAAUUUACAUCUUAGCAAAGUUUUCACUCCACCUUCUUAACUUCAUUAAAGUGUCCCUAUUAUGGGUAAUGAAAGGUUCAUAUUUUGAACAGGUUCAACAGGUUGACAUACAUGCAAGGUCAAAAAACACAUUAAUUUUCUUAUAAUAUGCAUUUAUUUUAACCUUACUUGCUCAACGACUCCCAAACUAUUCGUUCAGCAAAUCAUUUUUCCAAACCCCUCCUUUGCGUGAUGCUAAUCUGCGGCGAUUGGUCUCAUUUUCAUUUCAUCAUUCCUGUAAUGCUUGAUAAAGCAGCGUUUGUGAGCGCAGUGCUGCUUUGUGUACAACGUUACUGGGGAAACUGCUAUUUUUUACCGCUCCAAAAGCGGCACCUAGUGGAAAGAAUGAAUUUUGAUUUUCAUUCAGACCAAUGCAAAAAGACCAACAAGUGGGCGGAAAUAUGCUAAUGUUUCAUGUUGACGUCAACAUGACACGGCUUGGGAUUUGUUUUAAACACGACUCGGUUCAAUGAUUCAGAGUCGACUCUUUCUUUUGAGAGACAAUAAUAUACACGGUGCACUUUCAGAUUAAAAACUUUGCAGGAUGUUUUCAUUCACUUAGAGCUGUGUUACACACUGCAUAAAAGGUCAUUUCAAAAAUCCAUAAUAGGGGCACUUUAACCAAAAUUGCCCAAAUGAUGGAUGUGCGACAAAGUUCCUACUUUUUCGGGAAACGGUUAAGAAUAAUUUGUUUCUCCAACAAUGCAUCAUACUAUGGUAGUGAAAUAUGUCAUCUUUCGGGGAAACGCACCACAGGUUUAAAGCUUCUAGCUUCAAAAAGACUCAAAAGGUGUAAAAGUACCAUAAAGGCCAUACAAUAGAUUUCUAGAGUUUAAUUUAAGGUUUUGGGUUUUAUGUAGUUAAUUAUUACCGUAUUGACCCGAAUAUAAAACAACCCUGAUUAUAAGACGACCCCCCUUUUUCCAGAUGUACCUUUUGGAAAAAGGCUUUUUGAAUACCAAAUCUUUAUUUUUUUUUUUUUUUUCUCUCUGUAAAUCACAUUUUUUCUUAAAUUAUUUUCAUAUUGCAUAUUUUUCCUAUUUUAAUUUUGGUUUUGAAAGUAUGGUAAAUACUGGUAAAAUGUACCAUUAUCAACAAUGACAUUUAAAAAUAUACACUUUUUGAUAUACCAUAAAAAUAACAGGUAGCCCAUAUGAAUUAUACAUUUAGGCUAUCCAUCUCAUAGUAGCCUUCCAAAAUUUUAUUAACAGUAGAAGUGAAAUCGUAUUGUAGUCUUCAAAUCUGGGUAGUGUCUUCUGUUUUAAAAUCACUUACAGAGAAGUUUGGUCCAUCAGGCUAACAUGACAGUCACGACUCGUGCCACUGUAACCAUUUUCUUUUUCUUUUGUUUUCACUCACGAUCUUUACAACACACAUACAUUACAUAUUUCAUGGCACAAUUGUUUUAUGCGUUUUUGGCGCCACCUAUUGUUGUGGGUGUAUUAUUGACAUGUCAAAGCCUAGACCCAGAAUAUAAGACGACCGCGUUUUUUCAGAUGUAUUUCCAAGAAAAAAACAUCGUCUUAUAUUCGGGUCAAUACGGUACUUACUCUUUGGCUAUAAAUAUGAUGCCUGUCCUCAUGUAAAUUACAUUUUGUGAUGAUACACUUUUUGGUAAUUCUGACUGGUCAACUCCUAAUAACCAUUUCAUAAAUUAUUAAAGAAAAUACUUGAUGUAGUAACCCAGAAAUUCAGUUGCAGCUUUGUAACGUUCACACAAAAUGCGUUUUUCCAUUCCAAUGUGCUACUUUUCCAUUGUUUUUCUAUGUAAAUGUGCUAGCUGGACGUGUAUGACCAUUGCGCUCGCGUCUCACGCUUUUGCAGCGUUUCGCACAUGAGCACCGUGUUUUUGAGAUGCCAUGUCAAGUUAAAAGUUCAAAUUUAACUUUUACACGCAGCGCCGCCCAUCAAUGUCAUUUCCAAAACAGUGGACCAAUCAGAAGUCACCGAAGGUGGAACAAGCAUUACAAGCUUUGCAAACUUUUACAGUAGCAAGCUGGCAUGGAAGCUGUUUUUUUGUGACGGCAACAUAGCAGAGAAAGCACUGAUUGUGGCUGUAUGCGGAUAUAAAUUUUUUUCAAGCGAUUAUCACAACCCGUUUCUUUACAAAAGGAGCCUGAUAUUCUCGAUCUAUUCUGCUGUUUGGCUAUUUUCUGUUAUUUCUGUUAUUGCAUCACGUCUCGAGACCCUUGCAUUUUAAAACAUUCCGUUUUUAGACGCAAAGACGUGUUGUGUGUGAACGGCCCCUUUGGCUGGAGUGAAACAGGCCUUUACAUUCCUGGCUUGUUUUAACCACACGAAGCAGCACCCAAAAUCACAUACUUUCCUACUAUAUAGUAGACGAAAUACAGAAUGUCCAAAUUCACAGUAUUCAUAUAACAUUAGUUGAAAAGUACCCGUAUGACCUACUACUGAUGCUGUUAGGUCACAUGAUGAAUGUAGUACGUAUAUUAAAUUCAUAACACACACAUUCAGACUAUACGUAACAUACCAUUUUAAAGUUAUUACUUAGUAAGAAGUAUACUUACUCAGAGAGUAUGUGAUUUGGGAUGCAGUCGUGGUGUGGGUGCCUCUUACUGGAUUACCUCAAACCAAACAUCCCUCAUUCCAGACCCACACAGAACCUGCAGAACUCCACAGAACGCCUGGCAAGUUCACACAGAAGUUCUACACACCUUCUGCAUGUUUGAUUACUUAUUAAAUAGUUUGAAUAAUUCGGUCAUGUUUUCAGCUACUGCAGAAGUGCAUUACUGUCCUCCACAGAUUGUCUCAUAAAAUUAGUGUAGAAAAAGUGGGGGGGGAAAUAUCUGCAGGUUCUAUUUGGGCCUAUUUCUAAUUUCAGACCGCUUUUGUCAGCCACCUUUUUUUCCAUAAGAGUUCUUGUGAAAUUGUCAGUCUAUUCUGAGACAUGUAUGUGCCUUUACUAAUUAAAAAUCUACUUCAGUGCACACAAGCAUCAUUUCAGAAUCUCAUUGUAGGGAAAGUUAAUAUCACCUAUAUUUUCUAUAAAGGAUAAUUUAGGACCAUAAAGUUUUUCUUUCCGUUGCAACACAUUUUCUGCCAAAAUUCAUAAAUCUGAAAUCUGUCCAAAUGAUUUCCUUUUUUGUCUUUAAUUCUCAUAACUCUCCUUUUUGUUUGUUUGUUUUUGUCCAGGAGUGUAUAACUGUUAAAUUCAUGAAUGCUUUCAGGUCUACAUCUUUAAAAAAAUAUAUAUAUAUUUUUAAACAUGAAUGCUAACAGGCAUAACACACUCCUGGAUUUUCAACACAAACCUGUCACAACAGUCACAAAAUAAAUGCCUAUCAUCUGGCCUUUUUGGUUUUCCUGGAUGGAGGAGGAAAUGUAUGACCGUAGUAUUUUGGAAAUAUAAACCCUGUUGGCUGAUGGGAAGGGUAUUGGGGCUGUUUAAUGUAUCUGUUUGCUGUCAGAGAUGGACUGGCUGUAUGGAGCUAAAUUUGUAUAAUUACACAGCGUACUGUGAUCAAACAUGUACUAUGAUAAACUCUGCACUUCCAGGUUGAGUCUGGUCAGAGGUCACAGGGCGGUUUAACACGGCGCUACAGAAAGUCUUCCUCCAUUUAGGAAAACAUCUAAUGUUUUGAGGGCAGCUAUAACAUACGACCACAAACAUUCACUCAGAUCAGACAUUUAGUUUCUCUCCCCUGUCCCCGUGCUCCUUUGCGUCCUGAAGUGGACUCUGGUUUGAUACGUAACUGCACUUUGAUCAUCGUGUUGUGGUUUGAAAGCCUCCUUGUGCUAAAAGUCCACCUGCUCUUGGGAAAUGAAUAAAGUUAAAAUGUCAUCUGAUAAAGAGUAAAAUGUAAUUGCAUGAAGAAGUGUCUGCUUCAGAGAUGAACAGUUACCUGUAAUGAGAUUCAUCUGUAAUUCAUUAUUCAGUACUUGAUUUAAUGUACCUGCAUGGAAGCAGCUGUUGCAUCGCAGCGGGGAGGAAUGGUUUCAUAUUGUGCAACUGCAUUAUUCAGAAUGUUUUACAUUAUUCCCAAUGAUUUCUUGGGGGAUUGGUUCUUGUUAUUACCACUGUUAGAUUCUUCUCUGAGGCAUUAUGUAAGUGAUGAGGCUCUUUUGAAUUGUCUUGUUCUCUUGGUUCAGCUCUCCUUUUGCCUGGCAGAGAUUUCUUGAGAAUCCUGAAGCAUGAUUUCUGAAAGUGUAAACUGUCUAAUUCAAAUA